rnacentral:rRNA from 1 species
CCUACGGGAGGCUGCAGUGGGGAAUAUUGCACAAUGGGGGAAACCCUGAUGCAGCGACGCCGCGUGAGUGAAGAAGUAAUUCUUUAUUUAAAGCUCUAUCAGCAGGGAAGAAAAUGACGGUACCUGAGUAACAAGCCCCGGCUAACUACGUGCCAGCAGCCGCUGUAAUCCUUCGGGCGCAAGCGUUAUCCGGAUUUACUGGGUGUAAAGGGAGCGUAGACGGGAGUGCAAGUCUGGAGGGAAAGGCGGGGGCUCAACCCCCGGACUGCUCUGGAAACUGUACGGCUGGAGUGCAGGAGAGGUAAGUGGAAUUCCUGGUGUAGCGGUGAAAUGCGUAGAUAUUAGGAGGAACACCAGUGGCGAAGGCGGCUUACUGGACUGUAACUGACGUUGAGGCUCGAAAGCGUGGGGAGCAAACAGGAUUAGAUACCCGUGUAGUC